rnacentral:rRNA from 1 species
AUUGAACGCUGGCGGCAGGCCUAACACAUGCAAGUCGAACGAGUGGCGGACGGGUGAGUAAUGUCUGGGAAACUGCCUGAUGGAGGGGGAUAACUACUGGAAACGGUAGCUAAUACCGCAUACCAUCAGAUGUGCCCAGAUGGGAUUAGCUAGUUGGUGGGGUAACGGCUCACCAAGGCGACGAUCCCUAGCUGGUCUGAGGGGAUGACCAGCAACCCGGGAACUGAGACACGGUCCAGACCCCGAGGGGGGGCAGCAGGGGGGAAUAUUGCACAAUGGGGGCAAGCCUGAGGCAGCCACGCCGGGUGUAUGAAGAGGGCCGUCGGGUUGUAAAGUACUUUCAGCGGGGAGGGGUUACCAGCAGAAGAAGCACCGGCUAACACCGUGCCAGCAGCCGCGGUAAUA